GCCCUGCUCGCCUGGCACGGGGCGCAGGAGAGGCAGGCUCUGGUUUGGAGGAAGGUGACUCACCAGCGGGUGGGGUUGGGGUAGAGUCAUCCCCCUUCGCCCUAAGAGUGUCUUCUCAUUGUAGCUACCCUUUAAAACAACAACCAUAUCAAAAAAAAAAAAAAAAGAAGAAGAAGAAGAAGAAGAAGAAAGA